rnacentral:rRNA from 1 species
UACGUAGGGUGCGAGCGUUGUCCGGAAUUAUUGGGCGUAAAGAGCUCGUAGGCGGUUUGUUGCGUCGACUGUGAAAACCUGGGGCUUAACUCUGGGCUUGCAGUCGAUACGGGCAGACUUGAGUCCGGAAGAGGAGAAUGGAAUUCCCGGUGUAGCGGUGAAAUGCGCAGAUAUCUGGAGGAAUACCGGUGGCGAAGGCGGCAUCCUGGACCGACAUUGACGCUGAGGAGCGAAAGCUAGGGGAGCAAACGGG